CCAACCGGCCAGUGAUCGAAAGUCCUGCGCCAUAUUGGAAAUAUCUCCUCAAAAUUGGACUAAAUGUGGUGUUUGUUAUUGUGCGCCUGCCAGGCAUUGUCUCCCCCCCCGCGAAAUAAGUCACCAAAGAAAUUUCCUUCAAUAUAGAUAGUUUGUCUUUUGGUUUAAAAUUUAAAGUCUUCCCAUAUGAACGCGUUAAUGACCGACGUUGUCCGGUGACCUGCCCCCUGAGGUCUUGAAUCAGUGCCGAAGGCAACUUGAUUUUGCGUAACUCUCCCUUCAUCAGCUGGAAGUUUCUCUGAAAAAAAAAAAAUAAACCCAACCAAUUGGAAAGACAACCGCUUCUGGACUCUCCAAACUUCAAAAAACAGAUUUUGCUGCAAGGUGUUGAAGACCAGACCAGUUACACAUGCACGCAAAGGGAUUCCACUGUUCCACAUUUGCCCCUGGUGCGUCCUGCUUAGUAUAUGCGACCUCCCUGGCGAUCAAACCUUUCCCCUGGCCUGGUCAG